AAAAAUAAAAAAAAUACACACACUUUCUUCUUCUUCUUCUUCCUUCUUCUUCUUUCAAUAGAAAAAAAAUGUCAUCUUCAUCUUCUUUAUCUUACAAAAUAAAAAAAUCAUCAAAAUCUAAUACUAAUAUUGAUGAUUUAUCUUUAGUUAAAGCAGCAACAAUGGCUAAUUGGUAUGAAGAAUUUGAAGUACUUUCAAGAAAUUAUAAAAAGUCACAACAAACAUCAUCAAAAUACAAGAUAUUAUAAGAUGAUGAUGAAUAUGUGUGUUACAAGUUCAUAUGAUGACGUGGCGGUGGCACAGUCGCUGAAAAAGUCGCCGGCGCCGGUGGUGAAGUUUGACUCUUGCCGGCCAUGGAGAAAGGGUUCAUAAUGAUCAAACGCGAAUUCAGAAUUUUAAUUUGAUGAAUACGGUUUAUAACGUUCUUAUUAUUGAAUUUAUUGUAUUUUAAGAAUUGUGUAUUCAUGAUGUUAGUUGAGAUUUUAGUAUGUUUGUACAUAUUAUGUUUCAUGUUGAAAUAUCAAGUUCAGAUAAAUUCGUUGUAUUUUUAGAAUUAUGUAUUCUUGAUGUUUUUUUUUUGAGAUUUUAGUACAUGUAUAUUGUGUUUCACGUUGAAAAUAUUGAGUUCAGAUGAAUUCGUUGUA